GGUCGGUUAGCUCAGUUGGUUAGAGCGUGGUGCUAAUACCCAUUCCCCUGGUAUACCUGGCACGCCAAGGUCGCGGGUUCGACCCCCGUACUGACCA
rnacentral:tRNA from 1 species